GUACUUCCAUCGUCAAUGUGAAAAGGAGUUAACUGUCGCCUCAACCCCGACCAUCGCCGGCCUUCCUUUCUUGUGUGCCCCACCACCAAGCCAUUUCAUCAAAUUUAUGUAAUCUCCCUCUUACUACUCUCUGUACCUCGUUUUUCAUCUCCUACUAUUGAUUCACAAGUUAGGGUUUUCGUUUUUGUUUAAAUGCCCAAAAUUGGAUUUGUUCUUCAAAUUUUGAGUAAGGAAUUGUAUGAUUUUCAAUUAGAACUUUAAUUUUUGUUAAUUUUUUAUAAUUGUGCUUGUUGAGCGUGGAAUUGAGAUUAUUGGCAUACAUGAAUGACAUUGACUUCCUUGGUGACUUGCGUACAUAGUGAUGUAUGGGUUUUCUAUUUGGUGUGAUAAUGCAAAUCAAUUUUUAUUUCAAAAAUUUGUUGUAAAUUUUUAGUUUGUAGUCUUCCGUUCGUAAUUAAUGAAUUACUCUUUCUAUCAAUAAGAAAGUCAUGGAAUUGAUUAUUUAUUUGAAUUAUGCAAAUGGUUCAUUGUGAAAUAGAAUUGUUGAUUUGUAUUGGUUAGAAUUGCAGCUCCUUUCAAUAUCAGAUUGUUUCUGGUCUUUUUCAAAAGGAGUUGUACGGAACGGAUAUUUUGCACCGAAAUAGAGAGAAAUUUAAUGACGGAAUGUCUUGUAUGUGCUCUUCAUAAAUAAAUAAUGUGGAACUUCAAAGUUGCACUUCUAUUAUACACUACCAAUUAUAAAUUAUCCUCCUUUUCUUUUGCAGGGAAAAAGUUGUAUCCUCGUAUUAUCAAGAACUUUAUCAUGCAACCUAGGUAUGCCAUUAUCUAUGAUAUAAGGGUCUCCAUGUGAUUGAUUUUAAACAAAUAGCUUCACUAGCAAUUCAGAGUUGGAAUCUAAUGAUAAAUCUUUUAUUUUUUAUUACAAUCUAAUGAUUAACUAGUCUUCUUCAUAAAGGGCUUCAAGUUUGUUUUUAUGUAUGUGAACCUACGGGCAUGUGGUAUGGCGCUCUUAAAGUUCGAGUUCUUUAAUGAUUCGUGUAAAAGAGCAUAUCCAGUAGAUUUGGAUCCAUUCUUCACCACACGAUAAGGCGUUCAACAUUAUCUUACAAUAUUAGGUAAUUGCAUUAUUUUUCUCAUAAUUUUUAACAUGAGCAGAUAUUUUCCCCUUCUUACUAAAGAAAACAUGUGCUUCAUAUAAGCUUGGCUGUUUUUGUUCUAUAUCAAGAAUAUUUCUAUCUUCGAUCCUCUGUAGACUACCACAUUCAAUUUUAAUGGAAUAAAAUUUAUUUUUUUUGUUGAUUAUUGAGCAUGAAGGGUUUUUUUUUUUUUCGUAACUUCCUUUAGCUAACUUAUGCAGCUCAUAUUGCUCCAAAUACCAGAACUGGGGGCAAUCUGCUGAUGGUGAUAUUGAGAGUUUGGUAGAUAGUAAAUCUAUGAUAUUCAACCUUGUUCACGGGAUACGUGACUUGGCUUGAGAGUUGGUUAAUAGUAUUUGUGUUUAU
rnacentral:lncRNA from 1 species